rnacentral:rRNA from 1 species
GUGGGGAAUUUUCGGCAAUGGGCGCAAGCCUGACCGAGCAACGCCGCGUGAACGAAGAAGUUAUUCGUAAUGUAAAGUUCUUUUAUCUGGGAAGAAAAAACAAAUUGACGGUACCAGAUGAAUAAGCUCCGGCUAACUACGUGCCAGCAGCCGCGGUAAUACGUAGGGAGCGAGCGUUAUCCGGAAUUAUUGGGCGUAAAGGGUGCGCAGAUGGCACAUUAAGUUUCUUGUAAAAAUGCUAGGCUCAACCUAGUAGGGCAAGAGAUACUGAUGAGCUAGAGUACAAAAGAGGCAAGUGGAAUUCCAUGUGUAGCGGUAAAAUGCGUAAAUAUAUGGCAGAACACCAGUGGCGAAGGCGGCUUGCUAGUUUGAUACUGACAUUGAGGCACGAAAGCGUGGGGAGCAAACAGG